ensembl:lncRNA
CUGAUUUUCAGGCCGUCUUUUUUUUUAAUCUUUUAUAGUUUUUCUCACGCCGCUCGCAUUCCGCUGGCCUCCGCUCACCUCCCAUUUAUGAAUGAAGCAAACUUGUCAACCAAUCACUUGUGAGCACUACAAACACAUAACACUCCCUCUCCCCCUUUUUGUACAGUCAUCUGGAGGGAGGGGGAGGUAGACAGUUCUUAGCAUCAGUUAGUCAUCACUGUAACUUUCUGCAGCCAGAAGAGCAGAACUCGAAGCUUAAAUGGAUUUUGUCCCACGUUUGUCACUCUGGUGGAUUUUCUUUGGAUACCUCUGCUUUGCUGCUUCUGGAGCUGAACCGUACCAGAAAAACAUCGCAGCUGAUUCUGGGCAGGACGUCAUUCUGCCAUGUCAAGCUCAAAACUACAACAAAGAAAAUUUCCAGUGGAACAGAACUGACUUGGGAGAUGAAGAAUAUGUCUUUUUGCAUCGAGACAAUCUGUCUGUAUUAGAAAAUCAACAUUCAUCUUUUAAGAACCGGGUGGAUCUCCAGGACAGACAGAUGAAGGAUGGAGCUUUGUCUUUGAUUCUGAAGAAUGUGACGACUAAUGACACUGGAACAUACGAGUGUGGUGUUUUUAUAAAUGGAACAAAUGACCCCAUCAGCAUCAUCUCCCUGAGUGUUGAUCCUCCAGGUCAGACAGGAGGACACACAGAGGAUGGAGGGAAGGAGGAUGGAUCUGUUGGACUGAUCGCUGGUCCGUCACUUUCUGCUGUUUGUGGGGUUUUUUCUAUCUACAGAAAACAAACAACGAGCCUCCCACUGAGAUGCAGCCAGUUUGAAAUGUCUGAAUUUUCCCAACUAAAGUCUAAAGUCUCCUGCUGCUCCUCAGAGUUCACACUACUUUCAGUAGCCCAUCUCUGGUGGCCACACAUGGGAGCACAGCUGACACACAUGAACCUAACGACAGGACAGGAGACGUGAAACUAAAUACACUGACAUUGAAUACAGACUUUCAAAGUAAAACAGGAAACAUGGAGAUUAGACAUGACAUGAACUUAACAUAACUGUACAGACAUGAAACCAGGGAGACUGAGUACAGGGGAAGAUGGCAGAAACGACAACAUGACUUGGCAACAUAAGACACACAGACAUAAACACAUGAAGGGCAAGGGAGACUUAAUACAAGGGUAAUAUAAGGACAAAUGGGCUAGAAUACUUAAUGAACCGAAACAAACAAUAAACAUCAAAAUAGACUAAAACUCAAAACACUGGGUCGCACGACCCAGGACCAUGACAUAUAGAUUCCCUUAUUUAAGUCACAACUCAAAACCUACUUGUUUAAACUGGCUUACUUGCUUCAACACAGAUUUUAAUUGCUGUCAAAUUGUGUUUUUUGUCUUGUUUUUUUAUUUUGUUGUUCAUUUUGUUUAGGCCCUGAGCCAUUUCAAACCUAACUGGUGUAAUGUUACAUGCUUAGUCAUACAGUUAAAAGGAGCUUAUUUUCAUUUUUUCAUGAGUAUCUCCUUUGCUGUUACAGAAGUCUGAGCUCAUUUGUUUACAGUAAAUUUUCAUCCUUCUGAUUAAAGUGAAUUAGACCAUCUUUGCUGUAAACCAUGUCAUGUUCAUGGCUCACUGACUUUAUCUCUUCAAUAACAUUUGAUCACGUGUAUGCAAAUCUGCAACUCUAGGAACUUCAUAAGCAGCCUUAGAAAGCUGUUAAAACUCAGUAGACCCGAGCUGCGCUGUGUCAUUAAUGUGCUCCAGUAAAGACUGAAGGCCCUGUUAGGUUUGAGUUUUUUAGUUCAAGCUCAGAGAAACACAGCAACAACUGCCACCUUAAGUCUAUGUCAAGUUCCUGCAUUGGAAAACUACAUAAUGGGAAAUUACCAGGAUCUGCAAGAAACAGGAACUAUAUCAGUACUGUUAGCUGGAUGAGUCAUGGCUUAUAAUUACUGAGGAGUCUGAGGGAGACAGACACACACUGACCACAACAAAAUGUAAUUAAAGAAACACAAACACAUGUAAGUGACAACAAGUCCAUGGGUAACUUGGCUGCAGAGUUAGUGUGAGUGAGAACAAACCCCAACAUAUUACAAACCCAGCAGUUUUCCAGACUGGGAUUUUUUUUACUUCCUUAUUGGAAACAGGACAACUGUUAUAUUUGCAAGUGCAUCUUAUUAGAUUCUGUAACAGUUUUAAUAGCUUGCAAAUCUAGACGAGGGAAUAAAUGGAAUAAAACAUGGACAUUUGAUUCAGUGUGUUCUCAUAAUUGUGUCUUCAUGCUGGAAAAACACUCUCUGAUGUUUCACCCUUUCUACUUCAGUGUGAGCAACUAAAUGGUAAAUGGCCUGUAUUUAUAUAGCGCUUUACUAGUCCCUAAGGACCCCAAAGCGCUUCACAUAUCCAGUCAUUCACACAUUCACACACACAUUCACACACUGGUAAUGGCAAGCUACAUUGUAGCCACAGCCACCCUGGGGCGCACUGACAGAGGCAAGGCUGCCG